UUUUUAGCCUAAAAGACUUUUCUGUUGGUUUUUCUCAGAGUUUCUACCAAAACCCAGCAGUUUCAGGUGUGCCUGCAGUGCCUCCUGCCAGCCACGGAGCCGCAACGUGAGUGGAGCAGCACCUCAGGCUCGUCUGUCUGCUCCAGCAACUGAGAGAUGUUGCUUUACUUCAGCACAAUGGAGUGAGGUUUUGUAAUGAAACCAGCUCUGGAAUUCAUAUUUCCAGAUAAAUAAUAAAGGAAAAGUGGAUGUUUCUGCCUCCUGAUUCUGGAGGCAGCUAAGCUUAUUUCCUGAUUGGUCCCUAUACAAGCUGCAGCUGUGUUCCAGCUUUAUGUGAUUGGGGCAUCUGAAGAAGGCUCAAGAGGAGUGGCAGAGGUGCCUGGAGUAUUGAAUCUUGCAGUUCAGUGAACAUGUGGUAGAAACAGUAGUGGAGGAGGGUUGAACUGACUCAUGCAUAGAUCAGGGUCACAGUCUGGUGCUUGCCAAAGGCGAUAAGCUUCCUCAUCUGCGUUUUGAGUGCAAGCACAUGCUGAAAGUGGGAGGAGGGUUUUGCUGAGACGACAGAAGCAUAUGUGUAGAUAAUGUCUAUUCUUGCGUCUAGCUCUCUUCUGCAAAAUACCAGUGAUCAAGAAGAUACUGGAGCUUGCGUUGUAGAUUGUUACAUUUAUAGAACUGAGAACAAGGAUAAAAAUGUAGGUAAAAUGAUAAAAAAGUCAAGAAGGGGAGAGAGCAAAGACCUGCUUGCGAGCCUUUACCUUGAAGACACGGCCAUGCAUGCCAGAAGGGUGAAAGGAAUCCCUUGGAGAAGGCAGGAUGGCAAGAAGCUCUCUUCAACCCCUGGAUGUUCAGCACACAAAUCCCUGAGAAGGCCAGGAUUUCUUAAGAAUACUUUCUUCCAUUAACUUUUACAGCAAAUAAAGUAGUUGAAGAACAUGGAAAUACUUGGUAGAAGAUACGUGGCUAUGGUGCCAGGUACAGAAAGCAAACUGUAAAUUUGUUAUAAAUUUUUCCUUACAUUUUAGGUUUGUCCCGAAGAUUAGUUAGCUAGUGAACAGAAAAUAGGUGUAAUAGAAAGAAAAGCAGAAAGAGGCUACACUUAACAUCACAGAGUAAGACUUUUUUCUCAUUGGUAUUUCAAGUUGGAUCCUCAAAUCCUUUUUCCAGACUCUAUAGCAAAUAACCAUAUCAGAGGAAGAAAGAUAAAUGUGACUGUAAUGUGCAGGCAAAACUAUGCAUAGCUCAUGCAUAAAAGGAUUCUGGAUUUUGAGGUCUACUAAAUCAGUUGACUUUUAUUGCAAUAUGUUUCUUUGGUUCAUUUGUUCAGGAAGAGAGCAUAUAUUAAAUAUGAAGACAAUAUAUCUGGGAUAAUAAUGAUUUUAUUAGUUAAGAAAGCAAGGAAACUAUGUAAUGUCCUUUAUCUCCUUAUCCAGUGCUAGUGUAAUACAUCUUCCUUCUUUAACCAGGAUUCUAAAUGAAUGACAGUCCCAGUAAAUUAUUGAG